rnacentral:rRNA from 1 species
UACGAAGGGGGCUAGCGUUGUUCGGAUUUACUGGGCGUAAAGCGCACGUAGGCGGAUCGUUAAGUCAGGGGUGAAAUCCUGGAGCUCAACUCCAGAACUGCCCUUGAUACUGGCGGUCUCGAGUCCGGGAGAGGUGAGUGGAACUGCGAGUGUAGAGGUGAAAUUCGUAGAUAUUCGCAAGAACACCAGUGGCGAAGGCGGCUCACUGGCCCGGUACUGACGCUGAGGUGCGAAAGCGUGGGGAGCAAACAGG